AUUGAACGCUGGCGGCAUGCCUUACACAUGCAAGUCGAACGGCAGCACGGGUGCUUGCCCCUGGUGGCGAGUGGCGAACGGGUGAGUAAUACAUCGGAACAUGUCCUGUAGUGGGGGAUAGCCCGGCGAAAGCCGGAUUAAUACCGCAUACGAUCCACGGAUGAAAGCGGGGGACCUUCGGGCCUCGCGCUAUAGGGUUGGCCGAUGGCUGAUUAGCUAGUUGGUGGGUAAAGGCCUACCAAGGCGACGAUCAGUAGCUGGUCUGAGAGGACGACCAGCCACACUGGGACUGAGACACGGCCCAGACUCCUACGGGAGGCAGCAGUGGGGAAUUUUGGACAAUGGGCGAAAGCCUGAUCCAGCAAUGCCGCGUGUGUGAAGAAGGCCUUCGGGUUGUAAAGCACUUUUGUCCGGAAAGAAAUCCUUGACUCUAAUACAGUCGGGGGAUGACGGUACCGGAAGAAUAAGCACCGGCUAACUACGUG
rnacentral:rRNA from 1 species